CCUUUUGAUGAUCUUGAGUCCAAACAAAGUCUUUGGUCUCUCUGGUGGCCUCAUAUAAAGGUUUGGCUAUUUCAGGAAAACCUGGAAUCCAUAGUCUGCAAAAGCCUGCAGAACCCAAGAACUCUCUUACCUGUCUUGGACUCUGGAGGGUGGGUAUGCUGAGAACAGUCCUUUUCUUGCUGAAAAAAGACACUGUUGGCUCUCCUUCAGAAUGUAGCCGAGAUAAGUAACCUUGGUUUUACAGAGCUGUGCCUUUUUGGCCAACACCAGAUAUCCCAUGUCCCCCAGAGCCUGUAUGUAUGUGAUUUGGGGUCCCUUUCUUGCAUCUUUCUCCAGUUUCUGCUGCAACAAGGUCAUCUUCAUACUGAACAAGAGUUAUAUCUGGGCUAUUGACUCUGUGCUCACUCAGGUCCUCAUGCAGAGCUUCAUCAAACAUAGUGGGGGAGUUCUCGUAACCUUGAGGCAGGUGAGUCCAGGCAUCAUGUGUCCUCCAUGGGUCUUGCCUCAGCACGUGUAUCUAAUCAGCGUGAGUUUGUGGAGUCUUGACAAAUGCAGCUCAACUAUGCAAUGUAAGGAAAAGAAAAGCUAUGUUUUCCAUCUAAACUGAUAAAAGUCAGAUAUGAGAGUGGAAGACCCCCUCAAGAUCAUAGCUGCAGACAGAAGGAAGGAAAUCAGGAACGGUGAAGUGGAAACUUCUGGCUUCCUUAGAAAGCCCAUUAUGUCAAAUGAUCUUGUGCUGGGACACAUGAAAGGAUGCAUUAUAUUUAGAAAGAAUAAGCAAGGAGAACUCAAAGUUCAAGGCCAGCCUGGGACAG